GUUUGAAUAUUCGCUGUUUCUUUUCCCUUGACAGCUCACCGAACACUUCAGUUGCAUAAACUAGAUGGCGUUUAUGAAUGUUCACAUUAUAACAUAAAUAUGGCAGGCACAACAAAAACAUGAACCAAUGCCGUGUGACGAGAUGUAAAAAGCACAAUACUCCUUGAGUGAUAAACUCUGGCAAUGUAAUGCUGUUUAUUUUGGUUGCUAACUCAUACGGGUUGAUGUAAUCAGUCUCUAAAUC
rnacentral:lncRNA from 1 species